AGGUUUUGAUAGACUAGAAAAAUGACAAGACUCCAAGUCCUUGAAGAGGAGGAAAAGUGUGAAGAAAACAAAAAAGGGAGAUUUAUGUCUGCUUCACCAUUUUGCCCAAGACUUGACCUGUCAUACACUGAAGCCCUUUCUUCUUUUCUCUUCCUCAGCUCAGAGAGGAAGAAAGGACCGUGUGAGAGAAGAAGGGAACAGCCUUUCAUCCAUAGGAGAAGUUCGUCUAUGACAAAGCCACUAGCUCCAUGUGGCCGCUGAGCACUCAAAAUGUGGCCAGUCUGAAUUGAGAUAUGUUGUUAGUAUAAAGUCCACAUCGGCUUUUUGAGCACUUUGUAUGAGAAAAAAGAAUACCAAAUAUCUCCUUAAUAAUUGUUACAUUGAUUAUAUGUUGAACUGAUAACAUUAUGGAUAUAUUGGAUUAAAUAAAAUAAAUUAUUAAAAUCAAAU
rnacentral:lncRNA from 10 species